rnacentral:rRNA from 1 species
AACAAACGCUGGCGGCGUGCCUAAUACAUGCAAGUCGAGCGAGGAAUUGCCUUCGGGUAGUUUCGAGCGGCGCACGGGUGAGUAACGCGUGGAUAAUCUUCCUCUAGGUGGGGAAUAACCAGUCGAAAGACUGGCUAAUACCGCAUAAGACCACACGAGCUUCGGCUCGAGGGGUUAAAGGCGCAAGUCGCCUGGAGAUGAGUCUGCGCCCGAUUAGCUAGUUGGUGAGGUAAUGGCUCACCAAGGCGACGAUCGGUAGCUGGUCUGAGAGGACGGCCAGCCACACUGGGACUGAGACACGGCCCAGACUCCUACGGGAGGCAGCAGUAGGGAAUAUUGCACAAUGGAGGAAACUCUGAUGCAGCGACGCCGCGUGAGUGACGAAGGCCUUCGGGUUGUAAAGCUCUGUUCUCAGGGAAAAAGAAAGUGAUUGUACCUGAGAAGAAAGGACCGGCUAACUUCGUGCCAGCAGCCGC